GCACAGUCUGUCGCCUGGACCUGCUUGGGCUCGGCGGUCGGGGCCGCGCGCUCCCGACCUGGGGACCCCGGAAAAGCCGCCUGGGUUCCAGCUGCCACCGUGGAAGCAGACUCUGCCUCCUGCGCAUUCUGGCUGGUACGCAGGAGGCCACCCAUUCGGUUGUCGUUGCUGAAGUCGUCAUUCUUGCGGGGAUUCCAGGGCUGAGUUAGCUGUCAUGCUUGCUGAGGUUCCACAGCACCGUCAUCUGCCCGCUCUUUAUAGCCUUCUGCCUCGUUCCUGUUGACAACAGUACGUCUUCAAGCGAUUCCUUCAAGACCGGCACAAAGGCGAGGUUGCUUAAGCCCUUGACCUUGCACAAGCUGCCAGGAGAACGACUCCAGGGCACGGUGGGUACUAAGACCGGCUUCGGUAUCAGACACACACCUUCACCUCCCCCCACCCCUCUGUUCCUGCCGAGGGUUCUGCUGGGAGUUGUAGUUUUUUACUGAAUAUGGAAAGAACUGAUUUUCCCAUCUGGAUGGUUGCAACCCGCUGCGUGUCUCAAAAAAAGCAAGCAAACGCCUUAUGAAAUAAACGGGACUCGAUUUCCCAAUUGGU